UAUGAAAAGAAUGUGGUACAACAUGUGUUUAGUUUUUUUAUUGAUAUUUCAGAGUUUUCGUAUGUGAGGUAAUCUUGCUGGGAGUGAAGGCAGUGCGUAUGACUGCUUGAUAUGAAAGACACAUCCUGUUUUAAAAGGUGGAUCAUGAGUGAAGCUCUGGAGGUCUGCCAUUGGCUUGAUAACAGUGGUUAUGUGAAUUGAGUGAAUUCAAUUUAUAAAUAAAUCUUUCACCAAGCAUUCACCUAUUUACUGACAAAACAGAUCCAAAUCUUGUUCAGCCUGAUGCUCAACCUUGUAUGAUGAUGACCACAGCCAGGUGAUGGAGAUCUGUGUUAAUCACAGCCUGCGUCUCAAGAUCAACAUGACAAUAGCAGACCAUUUCUUAUCUUACUCUUAUCUGACUAAAUGUUCAGCAUCAUUGACACAAAACAAAGAACAUUAGAUGGAGUAUUGGAGUAUUGGAUGAUCCCGUAAAGAAAAUAAUAUGGACUUUUUUGGUGAGAUUCUACAAAGAUUGACACAAUCCUAUUGUCUUUUAUUUUUACAGUUAAUAAUGCAUUAUAAACAUCCCAUUCAUUUGUAUUCUAUGUCAUCGAUCUGUUUGUGCUAAAAUGUAUACAUCUGAAUGUAAUGUCAAUAAUAUGUUAAUAUUCAGGAUUUAUUAUCAUAUGCAUGUUUUGAUGUUGGAUGUCAUGAUUUUAUUGAUUUCAUGUAAUUGUUGUCUAUUUAAAAUGAUUUUAAUUGCCAAAUUUUAUUGUUAAUUUAUUUAAUAUUGAAGCUGUUAUUUAACAG